rnacentral:SRP_RNA from 1 species
GCUGGGCGUGGUGGCAAGCGCCUGUAGUCCCAGCUACUUGGGAGGCUGAGGCAGAAGAAUCGCUUGAACCCAGGAGGCAGAGGUUGCAGUGAGCCGAGACUGUGCCACUGCACUCCAGCCUGGGUGACAGAGCGAGACUCUGUCUCAA